rnacentral:piRNA from 1 species
UAUUAUGUUAGUUAAGUACAAAUGG